rnacentral:rRNA from 1 species
AACGAACGCUGGCGGCAUGCCUAACACAUGCAAGUCGAACGAGACCUUCGGGUCUAGUGGCGCACGGGUGCGUAACGCGUGGGAACCUGCCCUUAGGUUCGGAAUAACUCCCCGAAAGGGGUGCUAAUACCGGAUAAUGUCUUCGGACCAAAGAUUUAUCGCCUUUGGAUGGGCCCGCGUUGGAUUAGCUAGUUGGUAGGGUAAAAGCCUACCAAGGCGACGAUCCAUAGCUGGUCUGAGAGGAUGAUCAGCCACACUGGGACUGAGACACGGCCCAGACUGCUACGGGAGGCAGCAGUGGGGAAUAUUGGACAAUGGGCGAAAGCCUGAUCCAGCAAUGCCGCGUGAGUGAUGAAGGCCUUAGGGUUGUAAAGCUCUUUUACCCGGGAUGAUAAUGACAGGACCGGGAGAAUAAGCUGCGGCUAACUCCG